rnacentral:rRNA from 1 species
UGGGGGAUAUUGCACAAUGGGGGAAACCCUGAUGCAGCAACGCCGCGUGAGGGAAGAAGGUUUUCGGAUUGUAAACCUCUGUCCUUGGUGAAGAACAAAUGACGGUAGCCAAGGAGGAAGCCACGGCUAACUACGUGCCAGCAGCCGCGGUAAUACGUAGGUGGCAAGCGUUGUCCGGAAUUACUGGGUGUAAAGGGUGCGCAGGCGGGUAUUCAAGUCAGCUGUGAAACCUAUGGGCUUAACCCAUAGCAUGCAGUUGAAACUGUAUAUCUUGAGUGAAGUAGAGGUAGGCGGAAUUCCGAGUGUAGCGGUGAAAUGCGUAGAUAUUCGGAGGAACACCAGUGGCGAAGGCGGCCUACUGGGCUUUUACUGACGCUGAGGCACGAAAGCAUGGGGAGCAAACAGG